rnacentral:sRNA from 1 species
UGAGAUCGUUGAGCAUACGACUGAGGUC